CGGAACACGCGGAGAUCGGACGCGAUUGGACAAAACAUUACAGAAUAGGAUCGAAAUUUAAUGCUGUAUCGUGCAUCUCGCUCCCUCUACUGGAGAGACUCGCGGCCGACCGUACACAGGCGGCGGUGCGAGCAGGACGGAAAUAGUGUGCCAGUUCACAUUAUAUAACAUUCUUGAUAAUAUAUCGCUGAUAAGUUGCAAAUGACAGACUGUUAUGGAUAUACCAGCGUAACGAGUACGAGCAUCUGGGAUAGAAGUGAUGCUUAGUAGAAAUGAAACAGGUAAAUAAAUGAACACGACAGUUUCACGUGUAUAUUUAAUUAACAAAAGUAUAACAGCAACACAGUGUGUUAUGUAUUCAUAAAGGGCACUUAAAUUGCACAUACGAGGACGAUCAUCCGGGCGACAUCCACCUAAACUCACAGUGAUAUAAUAAAUAGGUAAGAA